UACGUAGGGGGCAAGCGUUGUCCGGAAUCAUUGGGCGUAAAGAGCGUGUAGGCGGCUUGGUAAGUCCGCUGUGAAAGUCCAGGGCUCAACCCUGGAAUGCCGGUGGAAACUGUCAAGCUUGAGUCCGGAAGAGGCGAGUGGAAUUCCUGGUGUAGCGGUGAAAUGCGCAGAUAUCAGGAGGAACACCAAUGGCGAAGGCAGCUCGCUGGGACGGUACUGACGCUGAGGCGCGAAGGCUAGGGGAGCAAACAGG
rnacentral:rRNA from 1 species